rnacentral:lncRNA from 1 species
UUGAUGGGAGUCUAGUUACAAGUUCCAAUAUUUAAAAAUACCAAAAGACACUUAGGAAAAUGAAACUAUGUGCUGGAAAAGGACCAAAUUAAAUGCACUUCGCUGGGCGCUACUAGUCCAGACGUGCAGUAGUAAAAAUGCCAUAACUUUCUCUAGGGAUCUUCAAAUGGCACGAAAUCAAGUGCGUUGGAAACUAGAGGUGUAGAGCUUUCCAAUGGUAUAUGGCAUGCUGGCUGAUUAAUCAUACAUUAUCAGAAUUAAUUCAAAACCAACUCUGUCAUGCUGCCAGGAUCAAAGGAUGACUCACUAAACACAUGAGUCGACUCAUGAAAGCAAU